UACGUAGGGUGCAAGCGUUAAUCGGAAUUACUGGGCGUAAAGCGUGCGCAGGCGGCUUUGCAAGACAGAUGUGAAAUCCCCGGGCUUAACCUGGGAACUGCAUUUGUGACUGCAUGGCUGGAGUGCGGCAGAGGGGGAUGGAAUUCCGCGUGUAGCAGUGAAAUGCGUAGAUAUCAUUUGGAACGCCAAUGGUGAAAACAGGUAGCUGGGAGUGUGCUGACGCUGAGACACGAAAGCCAGGGGAGCGAACGGG
rnacentral:rRNA from 1 species